rnacentral:rRNA from 1 species
ACGCUCGACACCUCGGGGGCAGCAGUGGGGAAUAUUGCACAAUGGGGGAAACCCUGAUGCAGCGACGCCGCGUGGAGGAAGAAGGUCUUCGGAUUGUAAACUCCUGUUGUUGGGGAAAAAGAGGAUGGUACCCAACAAGGAAGUGACGGCUAACUACGUGCCUGCAGCCGCGGUAAUCUGAGCGGGCUGGCAAGGC